rnacentral:lncRNA from 1 species
UGGACAACUCCCCUGGGGCUUACAGGAGCCACCCAGACAAUGCCAUCCCCAUCAAAUCCUGGUUCAGUGACCCCAGUGACACAGCCCUUCUCAACCUUCUCCCAAUGUUGGACGCCCUCAGGUAAGGGAGGUGGCCUGUAGACUAUAGGUUUUGUUCUUUUUUUUUUGGAGACAAAUUCUUUUUAUGUAGCCUAUGCUGGCUUGGAACUUGCUUCUUGGACCUUGUUUUCGCUUCUCCAGUGCUGUGAUUACAGGAGUACACUACCAAAACUGGCAGGAUUUGGAUUGCCAAGGAAAAGAGGUGUGGGAAAUCUAAAAGAAUUGGGGGGGAAAAGGCAUUCAGAACUUAAGUGUGUGGGCCAGGUCUUCCUACUCAUUACUCGUACCCUUUUGGCUUCUGUCCAGUUUCACUGUGUGAAAGUGUUAUUGAGUUGUGUCUUGUCCAGUGAGACUCCGUUGUGUUAGUGUUGUCAACUGUAAGGUAGUCCACCAACGCAAGUUCCUGUCAUUCCAGGUUCACUGCUGAUGUCCGAUCGGUGCUGAGCCGAAACCUUCACCAACAUAGGCUCUGGUGACAGCUGCUCCCCCUCCACCUGAGUUGGGGUGGAGGGGAAAGGGAGGGAGAACUCUUCGGACGGCCGUCUGUAGCCCUGUCCAGUGUGAGGACUGCCUGGGCAGAGUCUGCUCCUCCCGCCCCUCUCUGCCCUGGGAGCCCUACACUCCGCUUACGGAGUCAGGAUGGACACAUGGGCCAGACUGUGAAGCAGCCUCACUCUUUGUGUUCACACUCCGUGGAAAUGCCAGACUGGGACAGGCGAAGGCCUAGGGGAACCGAAACCGUCUGGUGAAGAGGCAGGACUGGCCAGAGUGACAGACAUAUCCCAGAGGCUCAAAAGAAGCCAAUUCAACUUUGUUGUGAUUUGAUUUUUUAAAAACUCUUAUACAAAACUG